rnacentral:lncRNA from 1 species
CCACACACCAGCAGCAUCCCCACAAGCCUCUGCAACAGAGAUGGAUGUAGAGGCGCUAGUGGACCGGACAUUAAGAAGUCUUUACCUCUCACAUUCAGCAGCAGAAAGGCCAUGUAUUUUCCCUCCCAUCAACCCUGCUGCUCAAAGCAAAGAGAGGGGAGACCCAGCCAUGCUCAGCCUCCAGGAGGAGCUCAGCCUCCAGGAGCUCAGCCUCCAGGAGCACCAGAGGAAAGUGGAGGACAACAAGCGUCUACUUGAGCAGCUGGCGCGUAUCGAGGAGGAGCUGGUAGACAGCCUUCGCAGGGAGGUGGCGAGAAAGAGAGAGCUGAACGUUAUACGACAGGAGGACAACAGGCUACGCUGGAGGACACUGUGUUUCCUUCAGCUCAACCAGCGCCUCAAAAAGCCAGUUGUAACCAGCUAUUACAAGAACAUCCCUAUGCACAUCUACUGUCUCCCUAUUCAGACUGUUGGAAAAGGCAACAGUAACAAGAAGAACAAGAAGAAGUGGCAGCGAUGAGAAUAAGAGGAAGUAGAAUAGGAGUGCAGUCUGGGAGGAUGCUUGUGACAGUUCAUCGGUUCCACUUCCAUGUACCACUGUGGGACACAGGACUAUGUAACUCACAAGUCCUGCUGAGCGCUGCUUCUUUAACAUUCUGUACUGCGUUGGAAAAAAGAAAGUCACAAAGAAUAUUUUGGAUAUCUAUAUGCUCUCUCUCCAGUAUUUCUUACUUUGCCAAUAUACUGAUAUACAGUGCCUUCGGAAAGUAUUCAGACCCCUUGACUUUUUCCACAUUUUGUUACGUUACAGCCUUAUUCUAAAAUGGAUUAAAUAAAAUAAAAAAUCCUCAGUAAUGUACACACAAUUCCCCAUAAUGACAUCACAAUACACCAUAAUGACAUCACAAUACACCAUAAUGACAUAGAGUAAACAGGUUGUUAGAAAUGUUUGCAAAUGUAUUGAAAAUAAAUAAAAAAACACCUUAUUUACAUAAGUAUUCAGACUCUUUGCUAUGAGACUCGAAAUUGAGCUCAGGUGCAUCGUGUUUCCAUUGAUCAUCCUUGAGAUGUUUCUACAACUUCAUUGGAGUCCACCUGUGGUAAAUUAAAUUGAUUGGACAUGAUUUGGAAAGGCAAAC